rnacentral:rRNA from 1 species
GGUAGCGCCUCGUGAAUUCAUCUCCGGGGGUAGAGCACUGUUUCGGCAAGGGGGUCAUCCCGACUUACCAACCCGAUGCAAACUGCGAAUACCGGAGAAUGUUAUCACGGGAGACACACGGCGGGUGCUAACGUCCGUCGUGAAGAGGGAAACAACCCAGACCGCCAGCUAAGGUCCCAAAGUCAUGGUUAAGUGGGAAACGAUGUGGGAAGGCCCAGACAGCCAGGAUGUUGGCUUAGAAGCAGCCAUCAUUUAAAGAAAGCGUAAUAGCUCACUGGUCGAGUCGGCCUGCGCGGAAGAUGUAACGGGGCUAAACCAUGCACCGAAGCUGCGGCAGCGACGCUGAUGCGUUGUUGGGUA